AGAGUUUGAUCCUGGCUCAGAUUGAACGCUGGCGGCGUGCUUAACACAUGCAAGUCGAGCGGUAACGCGGGAGCAAUCCUGGCGACGAGCGGCGAACGGGUGAGUAAUACAUCGGAACGUGUCCUGUAGUGGGGGAUAGCCCGGCGAAAGCCGGAUUAAUACCGCAUACGCUCUACGGAGGAAAGGGGGGGAUCUUAGGACCUCCCGCUACAGGGGCGGCCGAUGGCAGAUUAGCUAGUUGGUGGGGUAAAGGCCUACCAAGGCGACGAUCUGUAGCUGGUCUGAGAGGACGACCAGCCACACUGGGACUGAGACACGGCCCAGACUCCUACGGGAGGCAGCAGUGGGGAAUUUUGGACAAUGGGGGAAACCCUGAUCCAGCAAUGCCGCGUGUGUGAAGAAGGCCUUCGGGUUGUAAAGCACUUUUGUCCGGAAAGAAAUCCUUUGAGUUAAUACCUCGGGGGGAUGACGGUACCGGAAGAAUAAGCACCGGCUAACUACGUGCCAGCAGCCGCGGUAAUACGUAGGGUGCAAGCGUUAAUCGGAAUUACUGGGCGUAAAGCGUGCGCAGGCGGUCCGCUAAGACAGAUGUGAAAUCCCCGGGCUUAACCUGGGAACUGCAUUUGUGACUGGCGGGCUAGAGUAUGGCAGAGGGGGGUAGAAUUCCACGUGUAGCAGUGAAAUGCGUAGAGAUGUGGAGGAAUACCGAUGGCGAAGGCAGCCCCCUGUGCCAAUACUGACGCUCAUGCACGAAAGCGUGGGGAGCAAACAGGAUUAGAUACCCUGGUAGUCCACGCCCUAAACGAUGUCAACUAGUUGUCGGGUCUUCAUUGACUUGGUAACGAAGCUAACGCGUGAAGUUGACCGCCUGGGGAGUACGGUCGCAAGAUAAAACUCAAAGAAUGACGU
rnacentral:rRNA from 1 species